GACGAACGCUGGCGGCGUGCUUAACACAUGCAAGUCGAACGGUGACCCAUCUUCGGAUGGUGAUCAGUGGCGAACGGGUGAGUAACACGUGGGCAACCUGCCCCUAGCUCUGGGAUAACUCCUCGAAAGAGGUGCUAAUACCGGAUAUCACCUCCCUGGACAUCCAGGGUGGUUGAAAGUUUUUCGGCUAGGGAUGGGCCCGCGGCCUAUCAGCUUGUUGGUGGGGGAAUGGCCUACCAAGGCGACGACGGGUAGCCGGCCUGGGAGGGCGACCGGCCACACUGGGACGGAGACCCGGCCCAGACUCCUACGGGAGGCAGCAGUGGGGAAUAUUGCGCAAUGGGCGAAUGCCUGACGCAGCAACGCCGCGUGAGGGAUGACGGCCUUCGGGUUGUAAACCUCUUUCAGCAGGGACGAAGCGAAAGUGACUGUACCUGCAGAAGAAGCGCCGGCUAACUACGUGCCAGCCGCCGCCGUAAUAC
rnacentral:rRNA from 1 species